ACGAUGUGUUGGUUACCUGGAAAGAAAACGUAAUGGUUAUGAUAACUUCUAAUAAAGAUUUUGAACCGCACAAUACGGAGCAUGCGCAAUGUCCUCAUAGAAGGCGACCCUCGUCCUGGUGGAGCCCUGCUUCAGUCGUCUCAGUGUACUGUACUUGUCCUCGCCGGCCCGAGCCUGUACAUCAUGGAGGUGGUCCAACCCGCCCUGCUCUACCCUCAGUACUGAGAACUCACAGCGCAGCUCAUCCAGCUGUUGUUGGAGGUGCUUCGACUUCGCCAGAUAUUCGACACUAAAACAUAGCACACACAACAAGAAGUCUCAGAGAAAAAGAUGUAGCUCAUCUUUCCAUGUAGCAUAAAAAAAGUGAAUAUUAAUCUAAACAGACACUUGUGUAGAUGAUUGUACAAAAUCCUCACCGUUCCUUUUCUAUUUCAACACUG